rnacentral:tRNA from 2 species
GACCAUGUGGCCUAAUGGACAAGGCGUCUGACUUCGGAUCAAAAGAUUGAGGGUUCAAAUCCCUUCAUGGUUG